UACGUAGGGUGCAAGCGUUGUCCGGAAUCAUUGGGCGUAAAGCGCGCGUAGGUGGCUUCGUAAGUCCGUUGUGAAAGUCAAAGGCUCAACCUUUGAAAGCCGAUGGAUACUGCGGAGCUAGAGUACGGAAGAGGCGAGUGGAAUUCCUGGUGUAGCGGUGGAAUGCGUAGAGAUCGGGAAGAACAUCAGUGGCGAAGGCGGUCUGCUGGGCCGUUGCUGACGCUGAGGCGCGACAGCGUGGGGAGCAAACAGG
rnacentral:rRNA from 1 species